CUUGCAGUCUCCUCCCCAGGUUUCUCCCGUGGUGGGAGCAGACUAUAUUCCAAAGCAGACUUUUAAGCCUUGCCCAGACCUCUGCCCUGCCGACAAGCGCUAACUGAAAAGGCACCACCAGUGUUAUUUCCAGCCAAAACAAUGUCCAAUCAAUCGCAAAGACUGACUGCUACUCAGCCCUGUGCAGAACACUGGUUCAACUGCACACACAACCCCAGUGGGGUAAUCAGGGUUUUUUAAACAGAUUUGCCAACUGCACGAGCGCCCUGUCAGACACAGAAAAAGAAAAGGCCGAAAUGAACACAAAAGCGUGUUUUGCUCCUUGUUUACAGCCUGCAUCAGGGGUACUCCACAGGAGCCUUAUCUACCACCCGGCAACAUUUCAUAUUUUAAUCUGCCUUAGUUCAAUAACGAACAGGUACAAAAAUAUUUACAAGGAUGCAAACAAGGCAUUAAACUGCCUAAAGAUGAAGGUGUGGAAGACAAGACUCCAGCUAAAAGAAGAAGGUCCUUUAAUAUGGUUUGGACAGUUCGUUUUAAGUAUGGAAAUUGAAUGCGUUCCAACCCUUCUAUAAUUUGCGUGCAUGCUGUUCCUGACAUGGCCUGUCAUUCAAGUGCUUAAUAAACACAUACUUCUAACAUG